rnacentral:rRNA from 1 species
GACAGAGGUGCCGAGCGUUAGGCGGAAUCACUGGGCUUAAAGCGUGUGUAGGCGGACUUCUAAGUGCCUUGUGAAAUCCCACGGCUCACCCGUGGAACUGCUGGGCAUACUGGGAGUCUUGAGCCACCUAGGGGCGAGCGGAACAAAUGGUGGAGCGGUGAAAUGCGUAGAUAUCAUUUGGAACGCCAACGGAGAAAUCAGCUCGCUGGGGGUGUGCUGACGCUGAGACACGAAAGCCAGGGGAGCGAACGGG